CUGUAAAUAAACGUGAUCCACUUCAGAGCUUCGUCUUCGUGGGACGUUAAUGGCGGUGUCUUUCCUCAGAGUCCCUUCUCCUCCGCACACGGCUCUCAAAACCCUAGCAAGAAAUCUCUUCUCUUCUUCCAUUUCAGCUUCCCAGAUGGAUUCAGCGAGCACAAGCGCGGAGAUGGGGGCUUCAUCAGAUGAUGGGAAAAAGAAGGUUUUUGUUGCUGGUUCUACAGGAAGAACGGGGAAGAAGAUUGUUGAGCAGUUGCUGGCUAAGGGUUUUGCUGUUAGGGCUGGUGCUCUUGAUUUGGAGAAGGCGAGGAUAAGUUUGCCUUUAGGUUCUAGUUUGGAUAUUGUGAAGGCUGAUGUUACUGAGGGAUCGGAGAAGUUAGUGGAAGCCAUUGGUGAUGCUGAAGCUGUGAUAUGUACCACGGGAUUUCGGUACUCGUGGGAUGUCUUUGCGCCUUGGAAGGUUGACAAUUUUGGUACUGUAAACCUUGUUGAAGCAUGUCGCAAGAUUGGGGUGAAAAGGUUUAUACUUAUAAGUUCCAUUUUGGUAAAUGGGGCUGCAAUGGGUCAAAUCCUUAACCCGGCUUACGUGCUUCUCAACGCGUUUGGACUUACUUUGAUAGCAAAGCUACAGGCAGAGCAAUAUAUUAGAAAGUCCGGCAUUAAUUACACAAUUAUAAGGCCAGGUGGACUGCGAGAUGAUCCACCUAGUGGAAAUAUAAUCAUGGAGCCAGAGGAUACUCUUUAUGAGGGUUCUGUAUCUAGAGAUCAGGUUGCAGAAGUUGCUGUUGAAGCAAUUCUCUGCCCCGAGUCUUAUUUUAAAGUUGUUGAGAUUGUUUCACGCUCCGAUGGCCCAAGACGUCCAAUCAAGGAUUUGUUUAGUGCAAUUCAACAAAAGUAAUUUAUGCAUGAGGUUUCCCCAACUAGGGGAGAUGAUCAGAGAUAUCAAAACUCUCAAUUGAACCAUGCAAAGAAAGAGGCCAACACAGCAAUGAAGAUGGGUGGAGCCAAAGCAGCAGCACCGCUACCGCUACCACUACCCAUGGCCGGGGAUGGCGCAAUGUUGUCAAACUCCACCACCGCAGCUGCAGUCCUGUAGCUGAGGAAAAACAAGCUGCAGACAAUAAACACCACAGCCAACAUGAGACUCUUCAUGCUUCCACACAGAGGGAAUCUAUUUUCGUAUCAAGCUAAUAUGAUCCGAAAUUCGACCAAGAGGACCUCAAACUUCUUCAAGUAAACUUGGCGCUAAUGAGGUGUCGAGGCGAAUGGAACAGAACAAGCUUUUGUUCCUAGACACCACAGUGACAAAAUGAACUAUGGAUUCAGAAAUAUCAAAAAAUAUGAUAUCCUAUAAAUGCCACUGUGGUUUGCUGCAUCAAUCUGCACAAAUGCUAUUGGACAGACAAUAUCCUCUCUUUGAAAUCUCUGUUUCUCGUAAACUCGGUACAUGGUUACACAUUCUUCUAAUGGUUGACCACAGUGCUUGAAUUUUAUUUUGUUUCAAUUAUUUCAAUUCAUGGUUGCCUCAAUUCAAAUUAUGAAUUGGAUCAUAUACUGCUGGAACCGAACACUUCAGUUUGGAGCAUUCAUGAAAAGAUGAAGCAGGAAAACAAAAAGACAAGUUAUCA